rnacentral:rRNA from 1 species
AUGGGGUACGACCCUUGGCUGGUGGCCGGCCCGAACGCCCCCAUGAUGCACGGGGCCGCUACCGCGCCUGCCUUGCCCACUGGGUCUCCGCCUCCACCACCUCCUCCGCCGGCCGCAUGGAUCCCGCCGUCAACGCCGACACCUGAUGCCGUGGCUGCUGGCCCGAGCCUCCGCCCACCUGGCUACGCCCCGGUGCCGAUGCGCUCGACAGUGAAUGCAGAGGAAGCGCUCGCCUUCAUCUCCGCUCCAUCCGGCGCCUCUGGUGUCGUCCGCUUUGGAGUCGGCAUGGAGGGCGCCGCCGCCGCCGCUGGCACGCCUCAACAGGAGACAGCUGCGGGCUCAAGCAGCUGCGCGGAGCGGCGCUUCGGCCGCCUCUUCGGGCGAGCUGUCGCAGCCCUCGACUGCCGCCCCGGCCGUCGUCCAGGCUCAUGGGCUCCGGCGAACCUCGGCUUCACCGCUACUCCACUGCGCCAGGCCUCCACCGUCGUCGUCUCCUCUUCAGAUGAAGAGACCUCGUCGGUGUCGCGUCGCUGA